GCGUCACAACCGUGCCGUUGCCGUGCCUGGUUGCUGCUGAUGAAGUCACUCCCGCCGCCGCUGCUACUAGGGCUGUCGUCGUCCUCACCAACUUCCAAGGGAAAGUCACGAUGGCGCUCCGCUUCUGUUUCUCUGGUCCGCCGAGAGAGAAGCUCAUGGGUGGGGUAAACGCCUCUGCUGUGUUUCUCGAUCACUGGUGAUGGAGCUCGCAUCGUCGUCAGCCAUGGCCGCUGUGCCUCUGGUCGCCGAGAAACGCCACCGCUGCUGCCGCCGGAAAUCGCCACUGGAACUGGUGUCGUUUGGAGUUGCUACAAGUUGCCGCUGCUGGAAUCACUACCACGGCUGCUGCUUCAUGGUUCAGUCACUUCUUAUUUGUGAGUUGAUGUGGUUACUGCAAAAGUGAGCGAAGGUAUGAUUCAA